AUGGAGAACCGGACUCGGGUUCGGUGUCCGGAGAAUGAAGAACUGGCGUCGUUCACGUGGAACAAGUGGAUAGUCAUGGCUUCGCAACCGAAAGGUCUUUCCAAAGCUCAUUUCAAUGGUUUUUUUGGGACUGGGUCUGGAGGUAGUGAACCAGGGACCAGUUCUGGAGGCACUGAACCAGCUGACUUGACCAAAAAGGAUCCUAUUUUGAGUUCCUUCGCUUCCAUACACUUUCAAUCAAGAGAUCAUAUUCUGAGUUUGAUUAUUCACAUAUUUAUAGAGUGCAAGUGGUAG